rnacentral:rRNA from 1 species
AUUGAACGCUGGCGGCGGGCCUAACACAUGCAAGUCGAACGAGUGGCGGACGGGUGAGUAAUGUCUGGGAAACUGACUGAUGGAGGGGGAUAACUAAGGGAAACGAUAGCUAAUACCGCAUACCAUCGGAUGUGCCCAGAUGGGAAGAGCUAGUAGGUGGGGUAACGGCUCACCUAGGCCACGAUCCCUAGCUGGUCUGAGAGGAUGACCGGUCCGACUGGAACUGAGACACGGUCCAUACUCCUACGUGAGGCAGCAGUGGGGAAUGUUGCACAAUGGGCGCAAGCCUGAUGCAGCCAUGCCGCGUGUAUGAAGAAGGCCUUCGGGUUGUAAAGUACUUUCAGUGGGGAGGCGUUACCCGCAGAAGAAGCACCGGCUAACUCCGUGCCAGCAGCCGCGGUAAUAC